rnacentral:rRNA from 1 species
ACGAACGCUGGCGGCGUGCCUAAUACAUGCAAGUCGAACGCUUCUUUUUCCACCGGAGCUUGCUCCACCGGAAAAAGAGGAGUGGCGAACGGGUGAGUAACACGUGGGUAACCUGCCCAUCAGAAGGGGAUAACACUUGGAAACAGGUGCUAAUACCGUAUAACAAUCGAAACCGCAUGGUUUUGAUUUGAAAGGCGCUUUCGGGUGUCGCUGAUGGAUGGACCCGCGGUGCAUUAGCUAGUUGGUGAGGUAACGGCUCACCAAGGCGACGAUGCAUAGCCGACCUGAGAGGGUGAUCGGCCACAUUGGGACUGAGACACGGCCCAAACUCCUACGGGAGGCAGCAGUAGGGAAUCUUCGGCAAUGGACGAAAGUCUGACCGAGCAACGCCGCGUGAGUGAAGAAGGUUUUCGGAUCGUAAAACUCUGUUGUUAGAGAAGAACAAGGAUGAGAGUAACUGUUCAUCCCUUGACGGUAUCUAACCAGAAAGCCACGGCUAACUACGUGCCAGCAGCCGCGGUAAUACGUAGGUGGCAAGCGUUGUCCGGAUUUAUUGGGCGUAAAGCGAGCGCAGGCGGUUUCGUAAGUCUGAUGUGAAAGCCCCCGGCUCAACCGGGGAGGGUCAUUGGAAACUGGGAGACUUGAGUGCAGAAGAGGAGAGUGGAAUUCCAUGUGUAGCGGUGAAAUGCGUAGAUAUAUGGAGGAACACCAGUGGCGAAGGCGGCUCUCUGGUCUGUAACUGACGCUGAGGCUCGAAAGCGUGGGGAGCAAACAGGAUUAGAUACCCUGGUAGUCCACGCCGUAAACGAUGAGUGCUAAGUGUUGGAGGGUUUCCGCCCUUCAGUGCUGCAGCUAACGCAUUAAGCACUCCGCCUGGGGAGUACGACCGCAAGGUUGAAACUCAAAGGAAUUGACGGGGGCCCGCACAAGCGGUGGAGCAUGUGGUUUAAUUCGAAGCAACGCGAAGAACCUUACCAAGUCUUGACAUCCCUCUGACCGUUCCUUAACCGGAACUUUCCUUCGGGACAGGGGAGACAGGUGGUGCAUGGUUGUCGUCAGCUCGUGUCGUGAGAUGUUGGGUUAAGUCCCGCAACGAGCGCAACCCUUAUUGUUAGUUGCCAUCAUUUAGUUGGGCACUCUAGCAAGACUGCCGGUGACAAACCGGAGGAAGGUGGGGAUGACGUCAAAUCAUCAUGCCCCUUAUGACCUGGGCUACACACGUGCUACAAUGGGAAGUACAACGAGUCGCAAAGUCGCGAGGCUAAGCUAAUCUCUUAAAGCUUCUCUCAGUUCGGAUUGUAGGCUGCAACUCGCCUACAUGAAGCCGGAAUCGCUAGUAAUCGCGGAUCAGCACGCCGCGGUGAAUACGUUCCCGGGCCUUGUACACACCGCCCGUCACACCACGAGAGUUUGUAACACCCGAAGUCGGUGAGGUAACCUUUUGGAGCCAGCCGCCUAAGGUGGGAUAGAUGAUUGGGGUG